AGAGUUUGAUCAUGGCUCAGGAUGAACGCUAGCUACAGGCUUAACACAUGCAAGUCGAGGGGCAGCAUGAUUGAAGCUUGCUUCAAUUGAUGGCGACCGGCGCACGGGUGAGUAACACGUAUCCAACCUGCCGAUAACUUGGGGAUAGCCUUUCGAAAGAAAGAUUAAUACCCGAUAGUAUAGUAUUUCCGCAUGGUUUCACUAUUAAAGAAUUUCGGUUAUCGAUGGGGAUGCGUUCCAUUAGUUUGUUGGCGGGGUAACGGCCCACCAAGACUACGAUGGAUAGGGGUUCUGAGAGGAAGGUCCCCCACAUUGGAACUGAGACACGGUCCAAACUCCUACGGGAGGCAGCA
rnacentral:rRNA from 1 species